AUUGAACGCUGGCGGCAUGCUCUACACAUGCAAGUCGGACGGUAACAGGCCGCAAGGUGCUGACGAGUGGCGAACGGGUGAGUAAUGCAUCGGAACGUGCCCAGUCGUGGGGGAUAACUACUCGAAAGAGUAGCUAAUACCGCAUACGAUCUAUGGAUGAAAGCGGGGGACCGUAAGGCCUCGCGCGAUUGGAGCGGCCGAUGUCAGAUUAGGUAGUUGGUGGGGUAAAGGCUCACCAAGCCAACGAUCUGUAGCUGGUCUGAGAGGACGACCAGCCACACUGGGACUGAGACACGGCCCAGACUCCUACGGGAGGCAGCAGUGGGGAAUUUUGGACAAUGGGCGCAAGCCUGAUCCAGCAAUGCCGCGUGCAGGAAGAAGGCCUUCGGGUUGUAAACUGCUUUUGUACGGAACGAAACGGCUCUGGUUAAUACCCGGGGCUAAUGACGGUACCGUAAGAAUAAGCACCGGCUAACUACGUG
rnacentral:rRNA from 1 species